rnacentral:rRNA from 1 species
CCUACGGGAGGCAGCAGUGAGGAAUAUUGGUCAAUGGGCGGGAGCCUGAACCAGCCAAGCCGCGUGAGGGAAGAAGGUACAGCGUAUCGUAAACCUCUUUUGUCAGGGAACAAAGGCGGGGACUAGUCCCCGGAUGAGGGUACCUGAAGAAAAAGCAUCGGCUAACUCCGUGCCAGCAGCCGCGGUAAUACGGAGGAUGCGAGCGUUAUCCGGAUUUAUUGGGUUAAAGGGGUGCGCAGGCGGCCUGUUAAGUCAGCGGUAAAAGCCCGGGGCUCAACCCCGGCGAGCCGUUGAAACUGGCGGGCUGGAGUUGGAGAGAAGUACGCGGAAUGCGCGGUGUAGCGGUGAAAUGCUUAGAUAUCGCGAAGAACCCUGAUUGCGAAGGCAGCGUACCGGCUCCACACUGACGCUGAGGCACGAAAGCGAGGGUAGCGAACAGGAUUAGAUACCCUUGUAGUC